rnacentral:rRNA from 1 species
UAGGGAAUCUUCCACAAUGGACGCAAGUCUGAUGGAACAACGCCGCGUGAGUGAAGAAGGUUUUCGGACCGUAAAGCUCUGUUGUUGGUGAAGAAGGAUAGAGGUAGUAACUGGCCUUUAUUUGACGGUAAUCAACCAGAAAGUCACGGCUAACUACGUGCCAGCAGCCGCGGUAAUACGUAGGUGGCAAGCGUUGUCCGGAUUUAUUGGGCGUAAAGCGAGCGCAGGCGGAAGAAUAAGUCUGAUGUGAAAGCCCUCGGCUUAACCGAGGAAUUGCAUCGGAAACUGUUUUCUUGAGUGCAGAAGAGGAGAGUAGAACUCCAUGUGUAGCGGUGGAAUGCGUAGAUAUAUGGAAGAAUACCAGUGGCGAAGGCGGCUCUCUGGUCUGCAACUGACGCUGAGGCUCGAAAGCAUGGGUAGCGAACAGGAUUAGAUACCCUGGUAGUCCAUGCCGUAAACGAUGAGUGCUAAGUGUUGGGAGGCUUCCGCCUCUCAGUGCUGCAGCUAACGCAUUAAGCACUCCGCCUGGGGGAGUACGAC